rnacentral:rRNA from 1 species
UACGGGAGGCAGCAGUGGGGAAUAUUGCACAAUGGGCGCAAGCCUGAUGCAGCCAUGCCGCGUGUAUGAAGAAGGCCUUCGGGUUGUAAAGUACUUUCAGUCGUGAGGAAGGUGUUAAGGUUAAUAACCUUAGCAAUUGACGUUAGCGACAGAAGAAGCACCGGCUAACUCCGUGCCAGCAGCCGCGGUAAUACGGAGGGUGCGAGCGUUAAUCGGAAUUACUGGGCGUAAAGGGCACGCAGGCGGUUAAUUAAAUUGGAUGUGAAAUCCCCGGGCUUAACCUGGGAAUGGCAUUCAAGACUGGUUAGCUAGAGUCUUGUAGAGGGGGUAGAAUUCCAUGUGUAGCGGUGAAAUGCGUAGAGAUGUGGAGGAAUACCGGUGGCGAAGGCGGCCCCUGGACAAAGACUGACGCUCAUGUGCGAAAGCGUGGGGAGCAAACAGGGAUUAGAUACC